rnacentral:rRNA from 1 species
CAUAACGUCGCAAGACCAAAGAGGGGGACCUUCGGGCCUCUUGCCAUCGGAUGUGCCCAGAUGGGAUUAGCUAGUAGGUGGGGUAAAGGCUCACCUAGGCGACGAUCCCUAGCUGGUCUGAGAGGAUGACCAGCCACACUGGAACUGAGACACGGUCCAGACUCCUACGGGAGGCAGCAGUGGGGAAUAUUGCACAAUGGGCGCAAGCCUGAUGCAGCCAUGCCGCGUGUAUGAAGAAGGCCUUCGGGUUGUAAAGUACUUUCAGCGGGGAGGAAGGGAGUAAAGUUAAUACCUUUGCUCAUUGACGUUACCCGCAGAAGAAGCACCGGCUAACUCCGUGCCAGCAGCCGCGGUAAUACGGAGGGUGCAAGCGUUAAUCGGAAUUACUGGGCGUAAAGCGCACGCAGGCGGUUUGUUAAGUCAGAUGUGAA